rnacentral:rRNA from 1 species
CCUACGGGAGGCAGCAGUGGGGAAUAUUGCACAAUGGGCGGAAGCCUGAUGCAGCGACGCCGCGUGAGGGAUGACGGCCUUCGGGUUGUAAACCUCUUUCGACAGGGACGAAGCUUUUGUGACGGUACCUGUAUAAGAAGCACCGGCUAACUACGUGCCAGCAGCCGCGGUAAUACGUAGGGUGCGAGCGUUGUCCGGAAUUACUGGGCGUAAAGAGCUCGUAGGUGGUUUGUCGCGUCGUCUGUGAAAUUCCGGGGCUUAACUCCGGGCGUGCAGGCGAUACGGGCAUAACUUGAGUGCUGUAGGGGAGACUGGAAUUCCUGGUGUAGCGGUGAAAUGCGCAGAUAUCAGGAGGAACACCGAUGGCGAAGGCAGGUCUCUGGGCAGUAACUGACGCUGAGGAGCGAAAGCAUGGGGAGCGAACAGGAUUAGAUACCCUGGUAGUCCAUGCCGUAAACGGUGGGCGCUAGGUGUAGGGGACUUCCACGUCUUCUGUGCCGUAGCUAACGCAUUAAGCGCCCCGCCUGGGGAGUACGGCCGCAAGGCUAAAACUCAAAGGAAUUGACGGGGGCCCGCACAAGCGGCGGAGCAUGUGGAUUAAUUCGAUGCAACGCGAAGAACCUUACCUGGGCUUGACAUAUACAGGAUCGCUGCAGAGAUGUAGUUUCCCUUGUGGUCUGUAUACAGGUGGUGCAUGGUUGUCGUCAGCUCGUGUCGUGAGAUGUUGGGUUAAGUCCCGCAACGAGCGCAACCCUUGUCUUAUGUUGCCAGCACAUUAUGGUGGGGACUCAUGAGAGACUGCCGGGGUUAACUCGGAGGAAGGUGGGGAUGACGUCAAAUCAUCAUGCCCCUUAUGUCCAGGGCUUCACACAUGCUACAAUGGUCGGUACAACGCGCUGCGAGCCUGUGAGGGUGAGCGAAUCGCUGAAAGCCGGCCUCAGUUCGGAUUGGGGUCUGCAACUCGACCCCAUGAAGUCGGAGUCGCUAGUAAUCGCAGAUCAGCAACGCUGCGGUGAAUACGUUCCCGGGCCUUGUACACACCGCCCGUCAAGUCACGAAAGUUGGUAACACCCGAAGCCAGUGGCCUAACCCUUGUGGAGGGAGCUGUCGAAGGUGGGAUCGGCGAUUGGGACUAAGUCGU